UUUUGUAAACUGCAUUAUAGAAUACUUUUGAAUAAACCAAAAUGCUUUCUCUUUUAUCCAUUCAGUUCAAGACUUCUCAUUCAAGCAUUCAAAGCAAGUGUGGAUACAGGGGGGAUAUCCAUUGAAUGAAAACAGCCAUGUCUUUAUUUUGUAUAAUUAACUUAUAAAGUAUAAAACAUAUGUUUGGGUAAUUACUUUAUAAAACUAAGGAUCCAGACUGUUUUUGGACAAAUAGAAACAAAAGCUAAUUCAAUUGUUAUUAUUUCUACAUUAUUUGUAGUCAUCAUAGAUUGCAAGAUAAAAACAGAACACUAUACAGGUGCAUUCUGAUCCAAAAAGUAGAAAGAUAGACUCAAUUAUGGCUCCAACUCACUUAGAUGGAUAUCAGGCAUUUCUUUAGUAGCCCUUCAGUGGUUUGGUGUACAUACAUGUGUAAGCUGAGACAUUGUACAAAGGGUUUUCAGCUGUUUCUGUGAGCCAGUUAUGCACUAUAACAAAUAUUGAAACAAAUGUUUUCUUUUAUUGUAUACCACUUCCUUGUUUUGCACAGUUUCUGUGAGCCAGUUACGCACUAUAAAAACAAAUAUUGAAACAAAUGUUUUCUUUUAUUUCUUUUAUCCCCUUGUAUUGUACAGACAAAUAGUAAGUGUUGCAUUUUAUUGGGAUGGUACUAAGCCCUACUUUUAACCCUACAUCUGAUAAGUUAACACGAGGGCACAAUGGUCUAAUGACCAAGUGCUCUCCUAGAAAUCAAGUUGACUGCACUAUACUCCCUAUUCAAACAGGUGUACCUAGUACUCUGUUUAGUAUACUUAUAAAUGACAGACAGGGUGAGGGUAAGUUGACAAAUUUCCUUAGCCUUUCUUUAUGUUCUGGAUCAAGAAGUCUGGUACUAACAGCAGGAUGGCACCAGAGAAAGGACCCAAGGAGAAAAUGGGUCCAAGUGAUGAGAGAGCCAUAAAGGAAAGAAGCAUUUUAUGUUCCUCACCCAUAUGUACCAAAGUUUCGGAUUUGCAAGAUACGCUUCCUUCGUUUUCCUGUGAACUUCGUGCUACCGGACAUUCCUGUUGGGCGAUCGAGAUCGUUUGUAAACAUCUUUGGAAAAGCAUGUAGGUUUAGAUGACUUCUUUAUCGCCGAGACACGCAGAAGAUAAAGGCUUACUUGAUAUAUUGUUCUUUUGGCUUAAGUAGAUGCAUAUGGCUGGUAAAGUUUUCAUUUACUUUGUUUUCUAGUUUCUGGAUCAGUAGGUAAACAGGAUAGUUUUUGGCAGUUGAAGUAAUUUUCUUACCUCUGAUAAAUAUGGAUGUAAUGCAUUUGCAGACUUUUUGCUUACUUUGAUAUUUAGAUGUAUAAUUUCAUUGUGA